UACGAAGGGGGCUAGCGUUGCUCGGAAUCACUGGGCGUAAAGGGUGCGUAGGCGGGUCUUUAAGUCAGUGGUGAAAUCUCCAGGCUCAACCUGGAAACUGCCAUUGAUACUAUUUAUCUUGAAUUUUGUUGAGGUAGGCGGAAUAUGUCAUGUAGCGGUGAAAUGCUUAGAUAUGACAUAGAACACCGAUUGCGAAGGCAGCUUACUAAGCGAACAUUGACGCUGAGGCACGAAAGCGUGGGGAUCAAACAGG
rnacentral:rRNA from 1 species